UGUUCAUCCGGGUCAAACCGCGUUACUGUUCAAAGUCGGGUCAAACCGUGUUACUGUUCAUCCGCGUGGUCAAACGUGGACUGUUGACUGAUGACGUGGCGCAAUCCUGAGCGUCCAAACUGUUUUUAAUCCGAUGGCCAUGAUUUACUCCAUGUAUCUAUAAAAAGGGGGCCUCCCCCCCUAAUUUGAUAUCUCUGAAUCCAUUUUUGGGAUCCAUUUUCUGUAAUUCCCUCUCCAUCUUGUAUUUUCUUCGUAUUUUAAUAAAUUCCCAUUUUGCCCCUAGUUCAACUAUGAGUGGCUAAUUUACUUUCAAGCUUGGGUUGAAGGUGAAGUCUCAACAUGUGUCAUGGGCUUAAUUUGGUAAAUUUAUUUUCUCUUCCCCUCUAAUUUUUGUGGAUGUUUUGACUUCUCGUCGACAAAUAAUAAUAGUCUUGUCUAGAUACCGCCUUGGUUACACCGGCUCUCUAGUAUAAGGUUAUUAUUAUUUGGCACAAUAAGCCCUUAGCACCAUAUUGAUUAGAGCGUGGUUCAUGAGGUGUGGAUUCCCCCCUCAUGAUUUAAUUGGCAUUAAUACGGAUUAUUUAGCCCAUGAUGCAUGUUGAUACGGAUCCAGAUACCCAAGUAUGUCAUUUCAAUAGAAUUCUCUUCAAUUUCUUCUCGCCAUUUCAAUACCAAUUUUAGAAUUUAUUCUCGUCAUUUUAAUUUAAGUUGUAGCAUAUUUCAAAUCAUUUCCACCAUAAUUCCAACCACCCAUUUACAAAAUUAAUUCUAUAUAUAAUUAAAAUCCACCUCCUCGUGGGAUCGACACUCGUCACCAUAAAUCUAUACUACAAUAGAUUCGUGCGCUUGCGAGUACAUUAAAAUUUGCACAACAAGUUUUUGGCGCCGUUGCCGGGGAGGUAAGUAAUUUUAAUUCAUAGAAUUAAUUUUUGUGAAUAAUUUCUUUUAUUUGUUUUCUUGUAUUUUUUUUCUUAUUAAAAAAAAAAAAAAGAA
rnacentral:lncRNA from 1 species